AGUUUACUCACGGGGUGCCUAUACAGGCUGAGAAGUGCGAGCUAACCCGUGUACCUGAUCCAGAUAAUGCUGGCGGAGGAAUUGGGUAAAAGAAAAAGC
rnacentral:ncRNA from 2 species